CCCCUAGAUGUUCUGGGCCGCACGCGCGCUACACUGAUCAGUGCAACAAGCAUCCGUCCUUGGCCGACAGGCCCGGGCAAUCUUUGAACGCUGAUCGUGAUGGGGAUAGACUUUUGCAAUUUUUGGUCUUCAACGAGGAAUUCCUAGUAAACGCAAGUCAUCAACUUGCAUUGAUUACGUCCCUGCCCUUUGUACACAUCGCCCGUCGCUCCUACCGAUUGAGUGAUCCGGUGAAUAAUUCGGACUGCAGCAGUGCUUGGUCCUCCGGGCUUUGCAGCGGAAAGUUUAGUGAACCUUAUCACUUAGAGGAAGGAGAAGUCGUANCA
rnacentral:rRNA from 1 species